rnacentral:rRNA from 1 species
AUUGAACGCUGGCGGCAUGCCUUACACAUGCAAGUCGAACGGUAACGCGGGGCAACCUGGCGACGAGUGGCGAACGGGUGAGUAAUAUAUCGGAACGUGCCCAGUCGUGGGGGAUAACUGCUCGAAAGAGCAGCUAAUACCGCAUACGACCUGAGGGUGAAAGCGGGGGAUCUUCGGACCUCGCGCGAUUGGAGCGGCCGAUAUCAGAUUAGGUAGUUGGUGGGGUAAAGGCCUACCAAGCCGACGAUCUGUAGCUGGUCUGAGAGGACGACCAGCCACACUGGGACUGAGACACGGCCCAGACUCCUACGGGAGGCAGCAGUGGGGAAUUGUGGACAAUGGGGGCAACCCUGAUCCAGCCAUGCCGCGUGCGGGAAGAAGGCCUUCGGGUUGCAAACCGCUUUUGUCAGGGAAGAAAUCCUUUGGGCUAAUAACUCGGAGGGAUGACGGUACCUGAAGAAUAAGCACCGGCUAACUACGUGCCAGCCGCCGCGGUAAUAC